AAAGGAAAAGAGAAAUUGGAGAAGCAGUCCAUUUUAUACUCCGUUUGGAGGAGGAGCUCGAUUUUGUCCAUGGGUAGAGUUGGCUCGCCUUCAAAUUGCUCUCUUUCUUCAUUACUUCGUUACUACAUACAGAUAGACCCAACUCAAGGAGGAUCGGAUGUCUUUCUUUCCUUCAGCUCGAUUUGUGAAUGGCUUUCAAAUCCAAAUAACCAGACGGGAUGACGAGUUGAAAAAAA